rnacentral:lncRNA from 1 species
UCUGCCAUUUGAAGUUGCGCCGUGGCCUUUCCUCUCUGCCAUUUCAGACCCCUCUCGCUCCGAUGACGACGAAACGAAGAGGUCCUCCAGCCACACUCACAAUGGUAAGUUCUCUUUUCCCUUUCCUUUCCGUUUUAUGCACAAAGCAAUAAAUCAAAAAAGAAAAAAUGAAACAAAACUAAAUUAAAGAUCACCUUCUGCCAAAACUUUUCCUUUUUCUUCUAUUUCUUUUCAAAAAAUGUUUUUUUUCCUUCAAUCGUUGUAAACCUUUUACAAAAACCGAUUGGCCCUUUUUUAGCCGAAUCCUUACAACUCAAAUAAUAAUAAUUUUUUAAAUAUUUUCUCCCUCUUUCGUUUUGCUUGCUGUUCGUGGUUUACUUGUUGCAGGUACGUGCGCGUGUGGGGGUUGCUGCUACGUGGGGCGUGCACGGCGCUGGAGGUUGCUGCGACGUGGGGUGGCUGCUGCUAACUGCUGCUUAGGGUUAGGCUAGGGUUAGAUUUGGGUUUGGGGUAGUGACUUGGGCCUUAUUGGGCCAAACGUAAUUUGGUCAGAUUAGUUAAUUUGGGCCCCGGGCAACAAUUGGGUAUUACA